UACGUAGGGAGCAAGCGUUGUUCGGAUUUACUGGGCGUAAAGAGCGCGCAGGCGGUCGUUCAAGUCGAGUGUGAAAGCCCCCGGCUCAACUGGGGAGGGUCACUCGAUACUGAUCGACUUGAAGGCAGGAGAGGGAAGCGGAAUUCCCGGUGUAGUGGUGAAAUGCGUAGAUAUCGGGAGGAACACCAGUGGCGAAGGCGGCUUCCUGGCCUGUUCUUGACGCUGAGGCGCGAAAGCUAGGGGAGCAAACGGG
rnacentral:rRNA from 1 species